rnacentral:rRNA from 1 species
AGAGUUUGAUCCUGGCUCAGAACGAACGCUGGCGGCGUGGAUAAGACAUGCAAGUCGAACGAGAGAAUUGCUAGCUUGCUAAUAAUUCUCUAGUGGCGCACGGGUGAGUAACACGUGAGUAACCUGCCCCCGAGAGCGGGAUAGCCCUGGGAAACUGGGAUUAAUACCGCAUAGUAUCGAAAGAUUAAAGCAGCAAUGCGCUAGGGGAUGGGCUCGCGGCCUAUUAGUUAGUUGGUGAGGUAACGGCUCACCAAGGCGAUGACGGGUAGCCGGUCUGAGAGGAUGUCCGGCCACACUGGAACUGAGACACGGUCCAGACACCUACGGGUGGCAGCAGUCGAGAAUCAUUCACAAUGGGGGAAACCCUGAUGGUGCGACGCCGCGUGGGGGAAUGAAGGUCUUCGGAUUGUAAACCCCUGUCAUGCGGGAGCAAAUUAAAAAGAUAGUACCACAAGAGGAAGAGACGGCUAACUUUGUGCCAGCAGCCGCGGUAAUACAGAGGUCUCAAGCGUUGUUCGGAAUCACUGGGCGUAAAGCGUGCGUAGGCUGUUUCGUAAGUCGUGUGUGAAAGGCGCGGGCUCAACCCGCGGACGGCACAUGAUACUGCGAGACUAGAGUAAUGGAGGGGGAACCGGAAUUCUCGGUGUAGCAGUGAAAUGCGUAGAUAUCGAGAGGAACACUCGUGGCGAAGGCGGGUUCCUGGACAUUAACUGACGCUGAGGCACGAAGGCCAGGGGAGCGAAAGGGAUUAGAUACCCCUGUAGUCCUGGCAGUAAACGGUGCACGCUUGGUGUGCGGGGAAUCGACCCCCUGCGUGCCGGAGCUAACGCGUUAAGCGUGCCGCCUGGGGAGUACGGUCGCAAGAUUAAAACUCAAAGAAAUUGACGGGGACCCGCACAAGCGGUGGAGUAUGUGGCUUAAUUCGAUGCAACGCGAAGAACCUUACCUGGGCUUGACAUGUAAUGAACAACAUGUGAAAGCAUGCGACUCUUCGGAGGCGUUACACAGGUGCUGCAUGGCCGUCGUCAGCUCGUGUCGUGAGAUGUUUGGUUAAGUCCAGCAACGAGCGCAACCCCUGUUGCCAGUUACCAGCACGUGAAGGUGGGGACUCUGGCGAGACUGCCCAGAUCAACUGGGAGGAAGGUGGGGACGACGUCAGGUCAGUAUGGCCCUUAUGCCCAGGGCUGCACACGUACUACAAUGCCCAGUACAGAGGGGGCCGAAGCCGCGAGGCGGAGGAAAUCCUAAAAACUGGGCCCAGUUCGGACUGUAGGCUGCAACCCGCCUACACGAAGCCGGAAUCGCUAGUAAUGGCGCAUCAGCUACGGCGCCGUGAAUACGUUCCCGGGUCUUGUACAAACCGCCCGUCA